ensembl:lncRNA
CUCCCAAGGGGGAAGGAUCUCUAUCUAGAGAUCCUCCCUCUUGGAGCCCUUUUGUGAGCCCAAGAUAUGGGACUGGUUUUCAGCUGGGUAGGCUUCUGUCACUGUUGAAGCAAGAAGAUGAAGCAGCGUCCUGUGAAACAGCAGAGGUAAGAUGUUGGAUGCAUUUUGUUGCAGAUAGAAUCGUUCUUUCUCUCCUGUUUCAAAAUUCCUCAUAGACAGAUCAGCUGGUCAAGCUUCCAUGUCUCAUCUUGACUUUGAAGACAGUCACCAUCUUUGACUGCUGAAUUUCUGAGUAAAAAAUAAUAUAUCGCCAAAAAGAAAACUGCAAACCAACAAGCCCUGCAUCACAAUUGGUAGUGACUGCCACACAAGGAGAUGGUGUAUAGAAGAUGAAGAAAAAAAAAGCAACAACAAAUGAGAUGGUUUCACUUCUUCCUUAGGGAGAACAACAAGAAUUUACAGACAUAGAAGAAGCACCACUCCUAGUACCACAGAUGCUCUAACAAGGACUCAGGUGUAUCACUUGCUUCAUGUUUUUGAACAGAUUGCUAACUGUAUUCUAAACCUGAACCACCUACUGAAGACCUGCAGGAAAAAAAAAAAAAAAAAAAAAGUGGAAGAAUUGUGGAUAUCCUAAUUUGAGAGGAGGUUAUAGCACAAUAUUAUUAAGAUCAAACUGCCUCUUGCCUCAAAUCAAGAAGAAAACCACUCUUCUUUGACUAAAGCCAGUUCAGGAACAUUUUCUUCUGUCAAAACUUUCAGCCUGUUCUUCCAAGACAUGUAGAGUCAAAGAAAUGGUCUCACCACCUCCAACCCCAGUGCAGACCUCUUGGUCAGCCUUGUCUGAGAUGACUUAGCAUGGGGUAGUGGGAACUCUUAUCUGGCUCAGUGCUCCUGUUGAUGGUGGAUGAAAUGUUUAUUGUGUUGUUCAUCACAGAGAUCAAAAUGGCUUCUGGACUUUGUGCUGGUCUCUCCAGCUCUGAAGAAAAGCAGCAUGGCUUGCCUGACACUCUUGGUACAGAAGCUUCUCCAGCAGAGGUUCCUGCCAAUGAGAGACGAGAUCAGCUCACAUCAGAGGGAGGUCACUGGAUUCCUUGAAAAGAAGAGGUGGCUGUGCGUGUCUUCCUGUCCCUAUGCUUUCCUAAGCUACAGGGUAGCACUGAUCUUCCUCAGCAAGUUCAGUGCCUUGAAGCAACAGGAUCCCUGCCAGCCCACCAGGAUAGUGACAUCUGUGCUCCUGCAUACCAGUGUUUGGGAAGUAGGCAUGAUACCUGACAUCCAGCACAGUCAGGAACGAGCCAAAUCAAGAUGGGAAGGAGAGAAACUCUGGAUCUAUAGAGUAAGUAGCCUUAGUUGUUCCAUGUAUGCCUGGCUAAUCUGUCAGUAUUAAGGAAGACACUUGAAUGUUGAAGGAAAACAGAAAGCAAAGAAAAAAUCCCAGUGUCCAAGCGCAUUCUCUUGUAUGCUAUAUGAACAUAUAGUGGGAUUGCCUGGGAUUGGCCUCCCUGGAGGUAUUCAAGGCCAGAUUGGAUAUGGCCUGCCCACAGCAGGGAGUUGGGUCUCAAUAAUCUUUAAGGUCUCUUCCAACCUAGACUAUUCUAUGAUUCUAUGGUUCCAUGUAAAUCAUAGUAUUUUGUAGAAGUUUGUUUUUUCACCAUUUAUGGGGAAAAUUCAAGGUACUGUUCUCAUAAUGAUGAAAUAUUUCACAAUUAUGAGUUGCUUAAGGUAUUGUAAAUGAAUGCUAUGAGCUAUGUGUGUGUGAUAUUUGACAUAUUAAGGAUGCACUAUUGCAACACAGAAUGUCAUAUAAAACCAAAGGGAAGUAAUUCAGAGCAAAAUAUUUUAAAUGAUCUUGUACUGAUUUUUUGUGUAUUUUUUUUUCUCUCUCUCUUUUUUUUUUUUUAAGGAUUUACAGUUGCAGGAAAUGAUUUUUCCAGGAGUAGCUCUUAUUCUAACUAGGAAUUAGAAUUAUUGAAAUGUUGAAUGGCCUGCUAACAAAAAUUUCAGUUCCCAGCUGACUCUGUCCACUAGUUUAUCAACAUAUUUUUGGACUCCACUGAAACAAUCCACGGCAAAGACAACAGAUAGCCCUAGGAAUUUGUGCAGGCUAUUGAGUCUUUCCAUUGUGGGCUGCUGGUUCAAAUCCUAGUGGACCUGUAGGGGAACAAGGAAAAGCUGAUACCAUGACUUUAGCUGUGUGGUAUGAGUUUUCCUCCCUGGGUAUAGGUGACAGCAACAGAAUUAGCAUUAAUUAGUCCACUUUGAAAUUUCAGCCAAGGUUUGACAUGGCAAAGUGGGGAAGCCUACUGCGCUGCAGACUGAGCUGUGCUUGCUCUGUGGAUGAAAAUAUAGCUUCCCUUUUCCAGGUCCAGUCCAGGCACUUUUCAUUAAUACUGUCACUGUGAAGCCAUAGGGAAAGCUAAGAGAGCUGCUUAAUAACUAGCAAGAACAAUAGAAGAGUAUCAUCAGACUAGGUAAUUGGUUAGAGAUAGUACCCUGGGAAGACAAGGACUAAAAGCAGUGAACUGCAGCCAGCCACACAAUCCAAGGUAACAGGCAGUGAGCUCUGGAUUAGCAACCAAGGCAACUUUAAUAAUUUAACUGUAGCAUUCACAGUAAUUUAACUAUGCUAUCCAGAACACAAAGCUAAUGGUGAUAUAGUGAAUGCAGGUAAUAUUCAGAAAGUUUGUUAAAUGCCAGUACAUAAAAGAGUCUCCGUGGAGAAGGCCAAUAUUCAGAUUUGUUGCUCUUGUUUUCUUUCUCCUUUUUCUCAGAUAGCAAGCAUUUAGUUUGUGAUAGUUAUUUGCUAGCUAGUAAGGGAAGAUGGGCUGUUUCAGAAGUUCCUAUUGACAGCCAGCUUACAGAGUGUAACAGGCUAACACAUUUUGCUGUCUUUGAAAACUGAAUAACAAAUGUUUUUGCUAUUUACAAGCCAGAAAUGAAUCGAUGGAUCUGAGUUAGAGAGCACACUCCCAAAACAUGCCAACACAUUUCUGCAUGCACUGCUUGCAAACUCUGCCUUCAUCCAAAUUAACAUCCUAAUUUGUGAAGGCUGCAAAAAAAAAAGUAUAAUUCAGAAUACAGAAUUGUUGUAGCUCAAAACAGACUCUCAAAAUUUAUUUUAUAGCUUGCCCACACACAGAGUUCUAGCACUCCACUGCUGAGAAUAAAAUGGUAGAACCUCUCUCUAAGGAUUACACCCACCACUUUAUUGCUGAAGAUGCUAGCCUGAAUAAAAUCCAUGAUCGUGCUCUGUUGCAUUCUCUCACUCUGGGAAGUCAAAUUCUUUUCCAGAAGUGACAGUAUAAAAUGUCUGCUUCUUUUACAACAAUGGUGCUUUGUGUACGUAUUCAUAGGCAGACCUUUUGCUUUAAUGACAAAAAAUGGAUUUUUACAAUCCUUGACUCCCACUAGCAUUGAGGAGUCCAUAAAGUUCGGAAAAAAUGAAUUAGAUUCGAUUGUGACUCACAUGUCCUGAUUGAACCACCGCUGCAAACUCCUACUGCAGCAACAAAUCCUGCUAAUUGUGUUGGGCAAACUAACUACACAGCCUGAGCUGAAGGGAAAAUUUAAACUCCCAAAUAAUACACAUAUUUUUGAAUACAUACUGAGUGCUGCUUUCAAGUUCACAUUGUAGUGGCCUACUGAAUCAGUUCUAGCACAGAUUUGGAGGCCUGUGAAUUCCCUCUGAGCUGGAAACUAUACAGAUCGCAUGUGUUCAUCAGCUGCUGGGGUUAUUUUUCUAAGCACUCUUCAAUGUGAGUGGUAGUGAAAGAUUGUAAAAAUCCAUUUAGUACUUGACUAACUGUAGUUCUAAGCACACACUGAAGAAUAUAAUUUCCAUUGCCACUGAAAGCAUGUGUUUGGAAGAACUGUAUCUAUGAAGCCCACCUGAAUCAUUAAGGUAGUGGUGGGACGGUGAGUGGGGGUGGGAGAGGUAUGCUCAGUUUAUAUGAAAAGAACCAUGUCAGGACAGAUUUUUGCCUAUGAGAAAUGUGUGAGGAAGGAUGUAAAGGGAAAAAAAAAAACAUCUCCAUGACAGUCCUCCCUUCCAGGGACUUUGUCUCUUGGAAGAACCUACUGGAGACAAAGGCAUACUGUGCCUUUGCACAGCUUGGGGGCCUUCACAGCUUUCAUCAUUCUUGCAGCCAUCAACCUGCCUGUAAAGGCUAAUGUUUUGCACUGCACUUGUGUAUUAGCUCUCUGACUGCAAGCCGUCACUUCAAGGAGCUUACACCUCACACCAUGCUUCACGAGCACACCACAGCUGAGUUUCAGUGCUGGAUCUUACUAUUUUAAUUAGAUUGCUAAGUACACUGUGGAUGUUGCUGCUAAACUUAUGUUGACCACAGCAUACACAAAGGUAACCCCGAGCAUCCAGGAUCUAAGAGACAAAAAAAAAUAGUCAGCCCUGUAGUGGGGUUAAAAGGAAGCUAGAUUUGUCUUUGUUCCACAAAGUGUAGCAUAAACUGCAUAAUUAGUCAUUUUGGCCUGAAGCUUUAUCUACAUGACAAUGUAGCACUACUAUUAGUAAUAGCAAUCCAAAGCAUCUUUUCUGAGUUGACAAAAAUUUUAGGUAUGCUAUUUAUAGCAACCAUUGCACACACUGACAUGAGAAAUAAUUGUUACUACAACAUCCCGUUAGUGUUAUUUUUGUAUUCUGUUCCAAUUUGUAUAUAAAUGAAACCUAUGAACAUUUCCUGCACUGACCUCAUGUCUUUGUGUAGAUGGGCUUUAGACCAGAUCCAAGGAAGUGCUAAAUAAUCAUAUAAGCAGCAAGAACAAAUUCAUGGUUGAGCACCAUUAUUCAUCAUGGUGUAAUAUGUGAUCACUGAGCAGGCAGUGGUGAAGAGGAGGCUCAGGGAAGACCUUAGCACUCUGUACAACUCCAUGAAAGGAGGCUGUGGUGAGGUGGGGGUCAGCCUCUUCUCCUGUGUAAGUAGCGAUAGGACUAGAGAGAAUGGUCUCAAGUGCACCCGGGGAGAUUCAGCUUGGUUAUUAGGAAAAAUUUCUUCUCAAAAUGAGUGGUCAGACACUGGAACAGAGUACCCAGGGAGGUGGAGUCACAGUCCAUGGAGGUGCUCAGAAACAUUUAGCUGUGGUACUUAAGGACAUGGUUUAGUGAGAACUAUUGCUGACUAUUGCAGGUAGACGGCUGGACUAUAUCAUCCUGGAGGCCUUUUCCAACCUCAGUGAUUCUAUGAUUCUAUGAACUUUUCCAUGGAUGUGCUUGGAUGAUUUUUCCUUCUCAUUCCUCUUUGUCUCAUCCUCUCUUCUCAUUACUUAUCUUUAAGGAACAGAAACCAGUCUUGACUUGCUACUGAGAAAACUAGGUACAACGAGAUGCCUUCUACUUUUCCCUCUGAGAACCUAUUCUCAAAGCUAAAGAAAUUGGCUCUAAAUUG